rnacentral:rRNA from 1 species
CGGCAAGUGGCGGCAAGCUUACACAUGCAAGUCGCACGAACCUUUCGGGGUUAGUGGCGGACGGGUGAGUAACGCGUAGGGAUCUGUCCAUGGGUGGGGGAUAACCUUGGGAAACCGAGGCUAAUACCGCAUGACACCUGAGGGUCAAAGGCGCAAGUCGCCUGUGGAGGAACCUGCGUUCGAUUAGCUGGUUGGUGGGGUAAAGGCCUACCAAGGCGAUGAUCGAUAGCUGGUCUGAGAGGAUGAUCAGCCACACUGGGACUGAGACACGGCCCAGACUCCUACGGGAGGCAGCAGUGGGGAAUAUUGGACAAUGGGCGCAAGCCUGAUCCAGCAAUGCCGCGUGUGUGAAGAAGGUUUUCGGAUUGUAAAGCACUUUCAGCGGGGACGAUGAUGACGGUACCCGCAGAAGAAGCCCCGGCUAACUUCGUGCCAGCAGCCGCGGUAAUACGAAGGGGGCAAGCGUUGCUCGGAAUGACUGGGCGUAAAGGGCGCGUAGGCGGUUGUUACAGUCAGAUGUGAAAUUCCCGGGCUUAACCUGGGGGCUGCAUUUGAUACGUGACGACUAGAGUGUGAGAGAGGGUUGUGGAAUUCCCAGUGUAGAGGUGAAAUUCGUAGAUAUUGGGAAGAACACCGGUGGCGAAGGCGGCAACCUGGCUCAUGACUGACGCUGAGGCGCGAAAGCGUGGGGAGCAAACAGGAUUAGAUACCCUGGUAGUCCACGCUGUAAACGAUGUGUGCUGGAUGUUGGGUGGCUUGGCCAUUCAGUGUCGUAGUUAACGCGAUAAGCACACCGCCUGGGGAGUACGGCCGCAAGGUUGAACUCAAGGAAUUGACGGGGCCCGCACAGCGGUGGAGCAUGUGGUUUAUUCGAAGCACGCGCAGAUCUUACCAGGGCUUGACAUGCGGAGGCCGUGUUCAGAGAUGGGCAUUUUCUCCGCAGGAGACCUCCAGCACAGGUGCUGCAUGGCUGUCGUCAGCUCGUGGUCGUGAGAUUGUUGGGUUAGUUCCCGCACGAGCGCACCUCGCUUUAGUUGCAGCACGUCUGGUGGGCACUCUAGACUGCGUGACAGCGAGAGGUGGGAUGACGUCAGUCUCAUGCUAUGUCCUGCUACACUGCUACAUGCGUUACUGGAACAGGCACGAUGCCACGAUCUCGAGCGUUCAUCGAUGCACUGCACUUAAGUGCUGAGUAUCCUGAUCGAUACAUGCCGUAUCGUGUCAGCCUGUACACGUGCCCGG